rnacentral:rRNA from 1 species
AGCAGCCGCGGUAAUUCCAGCUCCAAUAGCGUAUAUUAAAGUUGUUGCAGUUAAAAAGCUCGUAGUUGAAUUUCGGGAUUGACGUGAUGGUCAUGCCUUAAGGGGUAUGAACUGUUACUGUUGAUUUCUCACCUUCUGGAGAACCGCGAUGCCCUUAAUUGGGUGUCGCGGGGAACCAGGACCUUUACUUUGAAAAAAUUAGAGUGUUUAAAGCAGGCAUUUUGCUUGAAUACAUUAGCAUGGAAUAAUAAAAUAGGACGGCAUGAUUCUAUUUUGUUGGUUUCUAGGAUCACCGUAAUGAUUAAUAGGGAUAGUUGGGGGCAUUAGUAUUCAAUUGUCAGAGGUGAAAUUCUUGGAUUUAUUGAAGACUAACUACUGCGAAAGCAUUUGCCAAGGAUGUUUUCAUUAAUCAAGAACGAAAGUUAGGGGAUCGAAGACGAUCAGAUACCGUCGUAGUCUUAACCAUAAACUAUGCCGACUAGGAAUCAGACGAUGUUAAUUUUUUAAUGACUCGUUUGGU